GACGAACGCUGGCGGCGUGCUUAACACAUGCAAGUCGAACGGAAAGGCCCUGCUUUUGUGGGGUGCACGAGUGGCGAACGGGCGGGUAACAAGCAAGUAACCUGCCCUUGACAUUGGGAUAAAUUCAGGAAACUGAGGCUAAUACAUGACAGGAACUACUGCUGCAUGGUGGGGGUUGGAAAGUUUCGGCGGUUGGGGAUGGACUCGCGGUUUAUCAGCUUGUUGGUGGGGUAGUGGCUUACCAAGGCUUUGACGGGUAGCCGGCCUGGGAGGGUGACCGGCCACCGUGGGACUGCGAGACGGCCCAGACUCCUACGGGAGGCAGCAGGCGGGAAUAUUGCACACUGGGCGGAAGUCUGUUGCAGCAACGCCGCGUGCGGGAUGACGGGCUUCUGGUUAAGAACCGCUUUCGCCUCUGACUAAGCGUGAGUGACGGUAACGGGUAAAGAAGCCCCGGCUAACUACGUG
rnacentral:rRNA from 1 species